AUGGUCCAGGAAGGAAGGCAGGCGGCAUAUUCCGUGGAUAUUUGCUUGGGAGAGGAAAGAAAGACGGACCCCCAUGCCAUUCCAUUCAACUCAAUCCAACUAACUUGGAAGGAACGCGCAGCUCAGAGUCAGAGGAGGGGGCCGGGUCUGGGUCAGGGUCCGGUCAGAGGCCAGCGACGGCGCCGUCGCCCUCCCUCGAUUCCCUUCAAACCUGGCCGCCGCCCCCAAUUUCCUUCCCCUCCCCUCAAAUUUGGCCGCCUCCCCUAUUUUUAUCCCCUCCUCCCCAGAUUGCUCGUUCGCUCCUUGUAUAUCCCACAAGAAGAAGAGACGGAUUCCCCUGCAGCUGCAGGCAGAUUCAUCGUCCCCUUCCUUGCCUCCAUCCCUCCCUGGUACGUACCUCCCCUCCACCCUCCCUCCUUCUGGAUUGGAUUGGUUUGGAUCCCUUCUCCUCGCCGGAAUCGGCCGAAUCUCCUCCCCCUCCCGGCGUUUUCUGUGGUUUCGAUUUGGUUUCCGGCGCCCCUUCCCCGACCCCGACGCCGCUCGGCUCGAAUCAACUGCUUCCCGUUCCCGGAAGAAAUCUGGCUUCGUCUUCUUCUUCCUCCAGCUUUACUGGAAAAAGAUGAAGAUUUCCAGCAAUCCAGCUUGUCCAGCAAUGGCGGAGCACGCAAAAGCGAAAGCCAAAGCGUGUUUCUUUCUUUUCCCCUUCCUUUCCCCCAAUCCCUCCAAGCAACGUUGACGCCAGCGCGGGCUGCGUACGCACGCAAAUCUGUCUGUCUACCUUUCGCUGUCACCGCCCACCGUCCCCCCCUUCCAUCCCGUUCAACAAAAAUAAAUAAGAUAGCUUCACUUUUGUUUUCUCUUUUGCAACUCCUCCUUGUGCCUGCGGAUGCCACGGAGCAGACGACUCAGAUUACACCUUUUAUUUGA
rnacentral:rRNA from 1 species